rnacentral:tRNA from 1 species
GUCCCCAUAGUUCAACGGAUAGAACAAUAGUUUCCUAAACUGCAGAUCUGGGUUCGAUUCCCAGUGGGGGCACCA